ACGGGAGGCAGCAGUGGGGAAUAUUGGGCAAUGGGCGAAAGCCUGACCCAGCAACGCCGCGUGAAGGAAGAAGGUCUUCGGAUUGUAAACUUCUUUUAUGUGGGACGAACAAAUGACGGUACCACAUGAAUAAGCCACGGCUAACUACGUGCCAGCAGCCGCGGUAAUACGUAGGUGGCAAGCGUUGUCCGGAUUUACUGGGUGUAAAGGGUGCGCAGGCGGGACUGCAAGUUGGAUGUGAAGUACCGAGGCUCAACCUCGGAGCUGCAUCCAAAACUGUAGUUCUUGAGUGGAGUAGAGGUAAGCGGAAUUCCGAGUGUAGCGGUGAAAUGCGUAGAUAUUCGGAGGAACACCAGUGGCGAAGGCGGCUUACUGGGCUCUAACUGACGCUGAGGCACGAAAGUGUGGGUAGCAAACAGGAUUAGAUACCCUGGUA
rnacentral:rRNA from 1 species